AUUGAACGCUGGCGGCAGGCCUAACACAUGCAAGUCGAGCGAGCGGAGGACGGGCGAGUAAUGUAUGGGGAUCUGCCCGAUCGAGGGGGUUAACUACUGGAAACGGUGGCCAAUACCGCAUACUAUCGGAAGAAACCCUACGGGAUUAGCUAGUAGGUGGGGUAAAGGCUCACCUAGGCGACGAUCUCUAGUUGGUCUGAGAGGAAGAUGAGUCACACUGGGACUGAGACACGGCCCAGACUCCUACGGGAGGCAGCAGUAGGGAAUAUUGCACAAUGGGCGCAAGCCUGAUGCAGCCAUGCCGCGUGUAUGAAGAAGGCCUUAGGGUUGUAAAGUACUUUCAGCUGGGAGGCGUUACCCGCAGAAUAAGCACCGGCUAACUCCGUGCCAGCCGCCGCGGUAAUAC
rnacentral:rRNA from 1 species